UACGGGGGGGGCAAGCGUUGUUCGGAAUUACUGGGCGUAAAGGGCGCGUAGGCGGUUCGUACAGUCAGACGUGAAAUUCCUGGGCUCAACCUGGGGGCUGCGUUUGAUACGUGCGGACUUGAGUGCGGAAGAGGGUCGUGGAAUUCCCAGUGUAGAGGUGAAAUUCGUAGAUAUUGGGAAGAACACCGGUGGCGAAGGCGGCGACCUGGUCCGAUACUGACGCUGAGGCGCGAAAGCGUGGGGAGCGAACAGG
rnacentral:rRNA from 1 species